rnacentral:rRNA from 1 species
UACAGAGGUCCCAAGCGUUGUUCGGAUUCAUUGGGCGUAAAGGGUGCGUAGGCGGCUUGUCACGUCGGGUGUGAAAGCCCGGGGCUUAACCCCGGGUCUGCAUUCGAUACGGGCUAGCUAGAGUGUGGUAGGGGAGAUCGGAAUUCCUGGUGUAGUGGUGGAAUGCGUAGAGAUCCGGAGGAACACCAGCGGCGAAGGCGGCAUCCUGGACUGGUCCUGACACUCAGGAGCGAAAGCGUGGGGAGCGAUCCGG